rnacentral:rRNA from 1 species
UACGAAGGGGGCUAGCGUUGUUCGGAAUCACUGGGCGUAAAGCGCACGCAGGCGGAUUGAUAAGUCAGGGGUGAAAUCCCGGAGCUCAACUUCGGAAUUGCCUUUGAUACUGUCAAUCUCGAGUCCGGGAGAGGUGAGUGGAAUUCCUGGUGUAGCGGUGAAAUGCGCAGAUAUCAGGAGGAACACCGGUGGCGAAGGCGGCAUCCUGGACCGGUAUUGACGCUGAGGCGCGAAAGCCAGGGGAGCAAACGGG